CCUACGGGAGGCUGCAGUGGGGAAUAUUGGACAAUGGGCGAAAGCCUGAUCCAGCCAUGCCGCGUGUGUGAAGAAGGCCUUCGGGUUGUAAAGCACUUUCAGUGGGGAAGAAAGCCUUGGGGCUAAUACCCUCGAGGAAGGACAUCACCCACAGAAGAAGCACCGGCUAACUCCGUGCCAGCAGCCGCGGUAAUACGGAGGGUGCGAGCGUUAAUCGGAAUUACUGGGCGUAAAGCGCGCGUAGGCGGUCUGAUAAGCCGGUUGUGAAAGCCCCGGGCUCAACCUGGGAACGGCAUCCGGAACUGUCAGGCUAGAGUGCAGGAGAGGAGGGUAGAAUUCCCGGUGUAGCGGUGAAAUGCGUAGAGAUCGGGAGGAAUACCAGUGGCGAAGGCGGCCUUCUGGACUGACACUGACGCUGAGGUGCGAAAGCGUGGGUAGCAAACAGGAUUAGAUACCCCAGUAGUC
rnacentral:rRNA from 1 species